GACGAACGCUGGCGGCGUGCUUAACACAUGCAAGUCGAACGGAAAGGCCCUGCUUUUGUGGGGUGCUCGAGUGGCGAACGGGUGAGUAACACGUGAGUAACCUGCCCUGGACUUUGGGAUGACUUCAGGAAACUGGGGCUAAUACCGGAUAGGAGCUCCUGCUGCAUGGUGGGGGUUGGAAAGUUUCGGCGGUUGGGGAUGGACUCGCGGCUUAUCAGCUUGUUGGUGGGGUAGUGGCUUACCAAGGCUUUGACGGGUAGCCGGCCUGAGAGGGUGACCGGCCACAUUGGGACUGAGAUACGGCCCAGACUCCUACGGGAGGCAGCAGUGGGGAAUAUUGCACAAUGGGCGGAAGCCUGAUGCAGCAACGCCGCGUGCGGGAUGACGGCCUUCGGGUUGUAAACCGCUUUCGCCUGUGACGAAGCGUGAGUGACGGUAAUGGGUAAAGAAGCACCGGCUAACUACGUG
rnacentral:rRNA from 1 species